rnacentral:rRNA from 1 species
AAAUUGAAGAGUUUGAUCAUGGCUCAGAUUGAACGCUGGCGGCAGGCCUAACACAUGCAAGUCGAGCGGAAACGAGUUAUCUGAACCUUCGGGGAACGAUAGCGGCGUCGAGCGGCGGACGGGUGAGUAAUGCCUAGGAAAUUGCCCUGAUGUGGGGGAUAACCAUUGGAAACGAUGGCUAAUACCGCAUAAUGCCUACGGGCCAAAGAGGGGGACCUUCGG